GACGAACGCUGGCGGCGUGCUUAACACAUGCAAGUCGAACGGUAAGGCCCUUCGAGGUACACGAGUGGCGAACGGGUGAGUAACACGUGGGUGAUCUGCCCUGCACUUCGGGAUAAGCCUGGGAAACUGGGUCUAAUACCGGAUAGGACCACUGCCUGCAUGGGUGGUGGUGGAAAGCUUUUGCGGUGUGGGAUGGGCCCGCGGCCUAUCAGCUUGUUGGUGGGGUGAUGGCCUACCAAGGCGACGACGGGUAGCCGGCCUGAGAGGGUGACCGUCCACACUGGGACUGAGAUACGGCCCAGACUCCUACGGGAGGCAGCAGUGGGGAAUAUUGCACAAUGGGCGCAAGCCUGAUGCAGCGACGCCGCGUGAGGGAUGACGGCCUUCGGGUUGUAAACCUCUUUCAGCACCGACGAAGCGCAAGUGACGGUAGGUGCAGAAGAAGGACCGGCCAACUACGUGCCAGCCGCCGCCGUAA
rnacentral:rRNA from 1 species